UACAGAGGUCCCAAGCGUUACUGAGAAUCACUGGGUUUAAAGCGUGCGCAGGCGGUUGUGCAAGACAGAUGUGAAAUCCCCGGGCUCAACCUGGGAAUUGCAUUUGUGACUGCACGGCUAGAGUGUGUCAGAGGGGGGUAGAAUUCCACGUGUAGCAGUGAAAUGCGUAGAGAUGUGGAGGAAUACCGAUGGCGAAGGCAGCCCCCUGGGAUAACACUGACGCUCAUGCACGAAAGCGUGGGGAGCAAACAGG
rnacentral:rRNA from 1 species